rnacentral:rRNA from 1 species
UACGGAGGGGGCGAGCGUUGUUCGGAAUUACUGGGCGUAAAGGGCGCGUAGGCGGCCUUCUAAGUCGAACGUGAAAUCCCCGGGCUCAACCCGGGAACUGCGUCCGAUACUGGGAGGCUUGAAUCCGGGAGAGGGAUGUGGAAUUCCAGGUGUAGCGGUGAAAUGCGUAGAUAUCUGGAGGAACACCGGUGGCGAAGGCGGCAUCCUGGACCGGUAUUGACGCUGAGGCGCGAAAGCCAGGGGAGCAAACGGG